CAUGCAGCAUAGCUAUAUAUAUAUACAUACAUACAAACAUAAUUUGUAACAUAGGUUCGCAUGUAAGCAAAUCCUCUUAAGUUUGUGUAAGUGAAUCUUAGAAGUCGUUAUUUUGACAUAAUAAAAAAAAUUGUAAUAAAUGAGAUUAUGGCUAACUUUAUUUUUAUUUUUUGUUAUAAUUUUUUUUUUAUCUGAAAGAAAAAAAAGCAUGUUCUGUUUAACAUGUAAUAACGCUAUUAUUGUUAAUUACGUAUUAAAUUCAAGAUUAAAUAAAAUUAUUAAAAAAGAACAAAAUUAUUUUAUAAAUAAUAAUUAUAUUAUAACAAGUGCAAGAAAAAAACAGUUAUCGAAAAAUAUAAAAAAAACGCUGUUUUGGGGCGAAUACAAAAAUUCAAUCUGGGGAAAAAUAAAAACCAACACAUGGAGACAAAAGAAACCACUUUUUUUCUUAAGUUGCAAAAUUAAAAAUAUAAUUAAUAUAUCAAAAUUUUGUUUUAUCUUUAUUAACACUCAUUUACGUAAAAAAAACAAAUCAUACAUUUUUUCAAAAAUGAAUAGUAACAUAGCACAAGUACAGAAAAAAAAAAAAGAUGGUAUAUCAUCCAUAGAUACUUAUUUAGAAGAGAAAGAAAAGAAAAAAGAGUCGAUGUAUAAUAAAGAAAUGUUUUUAAAAAUUGAAAACGAAACAAAUGAUAACUUAGCUAAGUCAACAACAGAAGAUAACAAUUUCUUAAAUAAUAACUCAUGUAUAAAGGAAAAUGAAAUGAAUAAGACCUCUGUAAAUAUGUUAAAAAAAAGAAAAAAAAAAUUAAAUUCUUUUCAACAAUUUGAAGAAUGUAACAAUGAUGCAAAUGUAUUAGCAAACAAAAUUAAUGUUGGUUCUAAAGUUAGCACAACCUGUGACGAGGAAAUAGAAAUAAAUAUACAAAAAAAAACAAAUGACUUGGACAUAUCGCAAAGACAUAAUAAUAAUAGUAGUAGUAAUAAUAGUAGUAGUAAUAAUAGUAGUAGUAAUAAUAGUAGUAGUAAUAAUAACAAUACUGAUGGCACCGUUAAAGUAAGUAGUAACAGCAAUGAUAAUAACGCUUGUAAAUUUUUAACCGUUGCUGAACUAGAAAAAAUAAAAAGAGAGUCUAAUUAUAUGGCUAUAAACGAAACAGAGCAAAACGAAUAUAAUAUAGAAUUACAUUUUAAUUAUAAAGAUUUAAACUUUUUAAGAAAAAAAGAAGAGACGAUAAAUGCUUUAGUAAACAGACUGGAAUUGAAUUUAAAAAAAAUGGAGCAAAAGAAGAAUAAAAAGGAGAGAAAAAAAAAAGGUGACAAGGUUUCAGCUGAUACUGAAACUACUGCUACUACUACUACUACUACUACUACUACUACUACUACUACCAGUAGCUCUAAUAAUAGUUCGACGAUAGCCGAAGGACUCAAAAAAUGUGCCUCUCAAAAUACCUCUCAAAAUACCUCUCAAAAUACCUCUCAAUUACCUGUACAAUUCUUCGACAGUGAUAACAAUAUGAUUGGAGGAAAUCAGAUAUUAGGAGAUGUAAUGGAUAAAUUAAAUUAUGUGAUUAUUGAUAAAAUUAAAAUAUAUAUAUUAAAAAAUUUAUAUGACAUUAAACGAAUACAUGUUUCUAUGGAUAUAUUCGUAAAUCACCCUGUUGUACCUAUCAACAUACCCAUCAACGAACUUAACGAUUUUGUUUAUUAUUGGGUUUCUUCUAAUGAUAAGAAUAAGAUAAAAUCAUUCGAUUUAUGUUAUAUACCAAAUAAAAAUGAUGUUUUGAAACCUAUCCAGUUUGUCAUAUAUUAUAAAAAAGCACCUUUUUUUUUUUAUAUAACAGAACAAAUGUAUGUUAAGUCAGAUGAAUUCGAAGAGGAGUUGACAAUAAAAAAUAAAAGGUAUUUAGAAUUUAAUAAGAUUAUUGAAAGUGAUAGUAACAAUAGCUGCUGUAAUGGUACCAGUAACUGUAAUAACACUAUCCGUAUUAUGUCUUAUAAUAUACUUGCACCUGUAUACACAAACACAAAAUAUGCAAUGGAAUAUAUGUUUAAAAAUGUAAAUGACGACUACUUAAAAACAAACUAUAGGUCGCAUUUAUUUAUAAAUGAUAUAAAUAAUAAUUUUGAUAUAAUAUGCUUACAAGAAGUUAGUGAAUAUUUACAUUCUAAUUUAUUUUCUGUAUUUUUACAUUCAAAUUAUUAUUCUUCUUAUAAAUCCAAAAAUAAUAAUGGAAGUGAUGGAUGUUCUUUAUUUGUGAAUAAAACCAAAUUUACUUUAAUCGAAAAUAAAAAUUAUGAAUUUAAUAAUGUUAUAAAACUCCCCGAGUUAAAACAUGUAUAUGAUACGUUUAAUAAAUUAUCAAGUGAAAGUGAAAAUAUAAUUAAAGAAAUAAAAACAAUUUUUCAGAUAGGUAUCUACGAAUAUGAUAAUACUGUUACGGGGGGUAAUGUGAGUGGAAACAAUGAAACUAAUGGUAAUAGCAAUAGCAACAGUAAUAGCAAUAGCAAUAGUAAUAGCAAUAGUAAUAGUAACAGUAAUAGUAACAGUAACAGUAACAAAGGCGACAACACGAAAAAUAUAUUACUCAUUGGUAAUACCCAUUUUUAUUUCCAUAGUUUAGCUACACAUAUCAGAGCAAUGC
rnacentral:lncRNA from 1 species